CUGAAAUUGUUCUACCUUUUUAUGUGCAAAUUACAGCUACUGUCAAACCUUCAGCCACAGUGCAUUUAAUUUGUGGAAAUAUAAAAAUACCUGGCUUAAUAUUAAAAUAUUCUACAUGAAGAAGGAAAUAUUUUUAAGUGAUGUAUUGCAUUCAGGACUCUCCGAAAAAAAAAAAAAAAAUCAGAUUUGAAAGAAAUAAAACGGCUGCAGGUGCAGAGUUGAUCCACCUCCCAUGCAUUCAGCAGUAAUGCAGAGAACCUGGGACAGGCAUUCAGCUUCGGCAGUUAAGGAAGAGAAGAGGGGAACAGCUUGGCACAGUCAGAGCUCUUAAAUACUAUCAGC
rnacentral:lncRNA from 1 species